UGUAUGCAUGUGUGACAUGUAGUGUUGUGUCAUCUGUAUACUGUGGUGACAUGUAGUGCUGUGUCAUCUGUAUAUUGUGGUGACAUGUAGUGUUUUGUCAUCUGUAUAUUGUGGUGACAUUAGUGUUGUGUCAAUCUGCAUAUUGUGGUGACAUGUAGUGUUGUAUCAUCUGUAUAUUGUGGGUGACAUGUAGUGUUGUGUCAUCUGCAUAUUGUGGUAACA